GGGCAAUAUUUCCAAAGGAGUUGCAAAUGGAUCCGCGGGUUCACCAAUCAUUGAUGGUUCUAAAACAGCUAAGCCUACGUUACAUGCAAUAGUACCUAAAAUUACUACUGGAAAAAUAUAUAAAAGAUCAUUUGGCCAUGCGGGUUCUCCAUAAUAAUUAUGACCCAUCCCUUUAGCCAAUUUAGCUCUUAACACAGGAUCGUUCAAGUCAGGUUUUUUUUGCUUUAUGGGUCUCACACACUCCCAUAAUCCAUUUUAUCUUCGGAGAAUUCGCUUCAACUAUAAGUGUCAAAAAUAUAGAUUUUUGUAGAGUUGAAGAGAAAUAUCCAAAUACAUGUCUUAUUUUUUUCAAUAAUCCAUAUUUGUAGCAAUGAAAUACUGUUGUUCCUACCCCAAGUGAUAAAUGAUUAAUUCAAAAUAUUAAUGGUAUAGAGUCUUCCUUAUAAAGGGCCCGAAAUACCUUGUUUACGUAUCAUUGGGAAAUGCAUUAACAUAAAUACGGCAGUAAGAAGAGGUAAUACAAAAGUGUGUAAACUAUAAAAACGGGUCAAAGUGGAUUGUCCCACACUAGCACUUCCGCGUA
rnacentral:lncRNA from 1 species